GCACUGCUGAGGAGUCCCAUAAUAGGACGAAACAGCCGUGCAAUGC
rnacentral:hammerhead_ribozyme from 1 species